AUUGAACGCUGGCGGCAGGCCUAACACAUGCAAGUCGAGCGGAUGAAGGGAGCUUGCUCCUGGAUUCAGCGGCGGACGGGUGAGUAAUGCCUAGGAAUCUGCCUGGUAGUGGGGGAUAACGUCCGGAAACGGGCGCUAAUACCGCAUACGUCCUGAGGGAGAAAGUGGGGGAUCUUCGGACCUCACGCUAUCAGAUGAGCCUAGGUCGGAUUAGCUAGUUGGUGGGGUAAAGGCCUACCAAGGCGACGAUCCGUAACUGGUCUGGGAGGAUGAUCAGUCACACUGGAACUGAGACACGGUCCAGACUCCUAAGGGAGGCAGCAGUGGGGAAUAUUGGACAAUGGGCGAAAGCCUGAUCCAGCCAUGCCGCGUGUGUGAAGAAGGUCUUCGGAUUGUAAAGCACUUUAAGUUGGGAGGAAGGGCAGUAAGUUAAUACCUUGCUGUUUUGACGUUACCAACAGAAUAAGCACCGGCUAACUUCGUG
rnacentral:rRNA from 1 species